rnacentral:rRNA from 1 species
AGAAUCAACGCUGGCGGCGUGCCUAACACAUGCAAGUCGAACGAGAAAGUGGAGCAAUCCAUGAGUAAAGUGGCGCACGGGUGAGUAACGCGUGACUAACCUACCUUUUAGCGGGGGAUAACCUAGGGAAACCUGGGCUAAUACCGCAUAAUACCUACGGGUCAAAGCAGCAAUGCGCUGAAAGAGGGGGUCGCGGUCGAUUAGUUAGUUGGCAGGGUAAUGGCCUACCAAGACUGUGAUCGAUA